GCACAGGUGGCACGCGCACCUGCUACUGGAGCACACCCCAAGGAAGGCCUGGGCUCGGGCAGAAGCCCCUCCUUGGACCUCGUCCAGCCUCAGCCCUGUGGGGACAGGGCUUUUCCCUCACGUGCUCCAGCUUCCUGAGCGGCUGCUGGCCCGGUCCUGCCCCUCACAGAGCUCCCUAAGAGAGACAAGGGAUGUGCGCUCAGCCCACCAGGGCAGUCCGGCGCGGCGCCGGGGCUUAGUCCCCAGGCCUCCGGGGGUCCUUCCCAGAAAGUGGAGUGAUGGGCUGGAGGAGGGACCUCCGGCAACCACGUGGGCUUGCAGCGACCCUCACUGGCAUGGACCUUGGGGACCGAAAGGGGUCUGGGGUUCAGCCUGGGCUGGGGACAGCUCCUGAGUCCAUGGGAGGGUGAUCUGG
rnacentral:lncRNA from 1 species